UUUUCAGAAUUAUUUUGAAUGUGGAUUUUAACAUUCCAUGCUGUUUGCUCUGAACAGAUUACCCCAGAAGCUUAUGAGAAGCUGAAAAUCCCUCAAGCUAAGGGGAUAGCCAACAUGUGUCAUUACUGGCAGAAGAAUCCAGAGCGUGAUGUCGAGCUCACCUACCGACUAAACCCCAAAGUCAGAAGAUUCCAACAGUUUGUCUCUGAGAGUGUGGAAGCCUUCAAGAACAUCUAGAAGACCAGCUGUUCAGCUUGGGUUCCCCAUCCGUUCUGUAUUCUCUCCCACACUGUUCCUCAUAUGCAGAAUCCAAGAUGUCCCUGUAGCCCUCCCUUUGGUAGGAAAUGCUGCACUAGAGACCUGGGACAGUCAUUUAUCUCAAGUAUCUUUUCAGCCAUUGAUAUGUUCACCUGUUAGGGGACACAGGAAGCCUCAAACCGAUGUCACCUUUUGUAGCUCUCUGUCUCUCUCUGUCUCUCUCUCUAGCUCAGUGAUCAGUCACUUCCCAAGGCUCUGGCUUGGGAGGAUGCUGAAGCUCCUUCCUAACACAACAUGAGCCCACUCAGCUUUCUCCUGUGGGAGUGAGUUCAAGAUCCAGGGAGCUCCUUUUUCUCAGGGAACUUGUCAUUUGAAUCUUUACAAAAAUAAACAUUGAUGUGGAGAUUA